rnacentral:RNase_P_RNA from 1 species
GCGGAUGGCUGGAUGACCGCAGGUUUACCUGAGGAAAGUCCGGACACCAAAAGGCACGGUGCCGGGUAACGCCCGGCGGGGGUAACCCCAGGGAUAGCGCCACAGAGAACAGACUACCCUGCAUGCAGGGAAAAGGUGAAACGGUGGAGUAAGAGACCACCGCGGGACUGGCAACAGGACCGGCAUGGCAAGCCCCACCGGGUGCAAUGCCAAAUAGGGACCACGCGCGGGAUUGAUAGGUUCGCCUAUAUCGCCGCAGGGACGCCUGACCCCGAGUGGUCCGGGUUGGCAGCUAGAGGCUCGUUGGUAACAGCGGGCCAAGAUGAAUGGUCAUCCAGAGGGCUUGUCCCUCGGACAAAAUCCGGCUUAUAGGCCAUCCGCGCAU